rnacentral:rRNA from 1 species
GACAGAGGGUGCUAGCGUUGUUCGGAAUUACUGGGCGUAAAGGGCGCGUAGGCGGCCAACUAAGUCAGACGUGAAAUCCCUCGGCUUAACCGGGGAACUGCAUCUGAUACUGGAUGGCUUGAGUUCGGGAGAGGGAUGUGGAAUUCCAGGUGUAGCGGUGAAAUGCGUAGAUAUCUGGAGGAACACCGGUGGCGAAGGCGGCAUCCUGGACCGACACUGACGCUGAGGAGCGAAAGCCAGGGGAGCAAACAGG